ensembl:lncRNA
AAAUGAGUGAAUGCGUGUUUAAGGCGGCAACAAGGUGUCUGUGAUUGUGAGAGCAGCAGAUGAUCUUUGGUGUUUGUGGCUGCAGGAAGCAUGUCUUCCCUUCAGUCUCUGAGAGAGUUGAUCAGCGAGCGACUAGCUGCUGCUGCUGAAGAAAUCUGCAGACUCUGUGAAGGAACCAUCGUCCAGUACGAGGAGGAGCUCUGUCGUCAGCGCAGACUGCUGGAUAUCUGCUGGAAACCACAGCUUCAGCUCCACCACAUCGACCUCCCCCAGCAUUGGCUGAAUGAAGAGGAUCUCUGCAACCAGCAAAGGAACGUCAGAGUGGACCAGGAGAAUCUAGAACCUCCACAGAUAAAACAGGAGGAACCAGAAUCCCCACAGAUUAAAGAGGAACAAGAGGAACCAGAACCUUCACAGAUUGAAGAGGAGGAACCACAAUCACCACAGAUUGAAGAGGAACAAGAGGAACCAGAACCUCCACAGGUUAAAGAGGAGCAGGAGGAACCACAAACUAUACAGUUUAAGGAGACUUUCACCUUGAUGGAGAUUCCUACUUUUGAGGAACAUGAGAAGAGUGAAGCAGAUCUAAACAAUCAGCAGAGCUUGAAUGGAACUGAUAGUCAGGAUGAAGAAGGAAACCAACAUGAAGAAUCAACAUCAACUCCAGAUGAAGAGACAGAGCCACAGAACAGAGAUCAGAGGAAGAGAAGAGACAGAAGUCAUGUCCAAAGUGUGGUCAGCUCUCACAUGUCAGAAAGUCAGUGUGACUCUGAAGUUAGAAACAAGUCCAAGAAAGAAACUUUGCUUGAGAAACACAAACAAUCUCAAAAGAAAGGAGACUUUCUCUGCAACUCUGUAAAAGAAGAACAAGAAUUCCACAUGAAUGUGUUCUGGUAAAAGUUUUGGUGAUGCAUCUCAGCUCAAAAUACACAUGAGAAUCCAUACAGGAGAGAAGCCUUUUACGUGUAAAGAAUGUGAUAGAAGCUUUAGUUCCAUAUCUGAUCUCAAAAUACACAUGAGAAUUCAUACAGGAGAGAAGCUGUUUACAUGUGAAGAAUGUGACAGGAGUUUUUGUAAAAUAUCUCAUCUCAAACAACACAUCAGAAUCCAUACAGGAGAAAAGCCUUUUUCGUGUAAAGAAUGUGACAGAAGUUUUAGUCAAAGCUUUAAUCUCAAAAAACACAUGAAAACACAUACAGGAGAGAAGCCUUUUUUAUGUAAAGAAUGUAAUAAAAGUUUUAGUCAAAAAUUUAAUCUCCAAACACACAUGUUAAAUCAUACAGGACAGAAGACUUUUCCGUGUAAAGAAUGUGAUAAAGCUUUUAGUUGCAUGUCUUAUCUCAAAAAAACACAUGAAAACUCAUACAGGAGAGAAGCCUUUUUUAUGUAAAGAAUGUGAUAAAAGGUUUUGUCGAAGAGCAGUUCUCAAAACACACAUGUUAACUCAUACAGGAGAGAAGCCUUUUCUUUGUAAAGAAUGUGAUAGAAGGUUUAGUCAAAAAUCUAAUCUCAAAACACACAUGUUAACUCAUAAAGGAGAGAAGCCUUUUCCGUGUAAAGAAUGUGAUGGAAGCUUUAGAUGCAUAUCUCUUCUCAAAUACCACAUGAGAACUCAUACAGGAGAGAAGCCUUUUUCAUGUACAGAAUGUGAGAGAAGUUUUAGUGAUAAAUCCACUCUCAAAACACACAUGACAAUUCAUACAGGAGAUAGACCUUUUGUGUGUAAAGAGUGUGACAGCGGUUUUUGUUCAGUAGCUAAACUCAAAAGACACAUGAGAAUCCACACAGGAGAGAAGCCUUUUUCGUGUAAAGAAUGCGAUAAAAGGUUUAGACGAAUUGAUAAUCUCAAAAGACACAUGAGAGGUCAUACAGGAGAGAAGCCUUUUUUAAAACAAGGGAAACUCACAGCAGAGGACUCAUGAAAAAAAGACAAUAAUGGUUUAACUAGGAAGGUUGAAAUAUUGUUAAUAACAUUUUCCCUUAGUUUAAGAGCCAUGUAAAAUCAACUUUUAAAAAUUGUAUUAUAACGUUCAUUCCUCGCCGUAAACAACUCCAAAGUGAUAUUUUGACCCAUUCACGAUUUAUGAGUAAUCCUCUAAAAAUCUGUGCUCUGAGCACCAGCCCCUCCUAACCCAUAAAAACAAGCUGACAUCACAAAGUGAGGACGGCCCCUUUCAGGAAGCGUCUACACUGCCAGCACCGCCCCAGACUAAACUCCUUCAAAGUUCUUUCAUUUUAGCAUUGACUCUGAGAAGAAAUGGUUCCUCUUGCACCUGAUCUGCAGAGACAGAUUAGAUCUCUAUGGAUAGAGUUUCCUCUGAAAGGCUUAAGAAUGGCAUGAUAAAGGCCCUUCAAAUGGUCUGUCAGUUGGUAAAAUGAAGUUGUUUCUAAAGCACUUCACUGCUGACAAGCUGUGUGGAGAUUCUGCUUUUCUUUUCCAGCAGAACUUGGAUCAUUUCCACUCUACUAAAGGUACCUAAAGCUGCUUCUCUCUCCCUAAACAUCUGUUUCUGUCCUUGAUCAAGCAGCAAAUUCCCUGAGCUGGACCCAAUCAAAAAUCCAGUUGAAGUUGAAAUGUCUUGUUUUAAUGAUGACAGUGAGGUUUGAUUUUUAACAUUUUGGUGAUAAAUUAACAAUUUCCCCACCGUGGGACUAAUAAAGGUUUUUCUUUUUCUUAAUCUUAGUAAAGUUCAAUUUUUGUUGGUUGAUUUUUAUCUUUAGAUUUUUGUACUUUUGUUAUAUUGUUUAAAGUUGUUAACCAUUGUUGUUGUAGUUUAUGCUGAGACAAUGUUGUCUAAGUCUGUGUGUUACCAUGACAACACUAGAAUUAUUAUACGUCUCUAUUUCAAACUGUUUUUUAUGUGAUUCAUGAAUAUUUCAUUGUUGUUUUUAUUUUCAAAUAAUCUCAGUUUAGAUUUAGUCGAGUCGUGUUAGUAAAUAAGAGUUUAGUGAAGAAAAGAUUGUCCUAAAGUUGUCUUAAUGAAGAGCUGGAUCCAGAUUCCCACUGGUGUUUGUGUUGUUGUGAUUCCUGUUUUCUAGCAGAGAUCAGAAGUGUUUCUCUCUUCUUUUGACUUCUCAGUGUUCUGUUCCAAUCUUUCCUGUGAAGAAUAAAGUGGACGUGAACAUCAGUCAGAAGUCUGGAGUCUUUCUGCUGCUUCUCUGCUGGUCAAAUACACAUAUUAGCUCAAACUGAACAAGUUCCAGAACAAACAAAAUCCAUUUCAAACCAAUAGUACUCGAGGAAGGACAGUUACUUUCAGAAUGACUUUUUGAUUUUGAAAAUGUCCCAACAAAUCCUCUAAAAAGCCAGUUCCACACUCGUAUCCCAUGAUGCAGUGGUUUGGAUCUCCUCACUGCCACAGGUAGGAUCCAUCUUUGGUUCUGAUCGGUGUUCCAGCAGGUCCAAAGAAGUCCAAAUGAAGAAAUCUUCUUUUUCCCAAGUCUGUUCAGAGUGAUGAGGUCUUUUCCAACCACUCUUCAGUUCAUUUCAGCCUUCCAUGGAUGGAGAGAAGAGAAGCCUUUAGGUCCAGUUCAGCUCCAAUGCUGCACAUGAUUGCACUUCAAACCGUAUGGGAGUUUUCACAUCACCAGAGGCGGAGAUUAGAUCAACCUGAGAGUGUGGAGCGGUUCCAACACUCAGAUUUUCUCCUCCAAUGCAUUAAAAGAAUGUGGAUGAUAAGAACACACUUUAUUCUGGUGCUUUUGGGAGUUUACUGUCACGUUUGAUUUAUUUUAACCACAUAUUCUCUAUGGACCGCCGCAGCUGAUCCAGCCAGAAUCUGAGCCUCAAAACAGUUUGCAGUAGAAAGAACAUUUAAUAAUUGUGCUUUAAUAAAUGCUUCCAUAGUUAAGUCCCUUUCAUAAAUCAUGUUUUAUCCUGAAUUAGUCAAACAAAGGUAUUUUUUUCCCUUUUGUAACACAAAAAACUGUUAAUUUACAUAGAAUAUGUUGGGAAAAAUGCAGAAAUAUGAGGAUAAACUCCCAAAAGCCCCAGAAUAAAGUCUUUUGUGACCAUCCGUCUUCUUUUGAGCUUUUUGGGAGAAAAUAUUAGUUUACAAAACAAAUCAACAAUUUCUUAAACCAAGGAUACACAUUCUAGCAGGAGAACCAAACUUAGCACCACACUUGUAAAUAAACACAAACUUAAGUUGUAACUUAAAUUACAUGAAAAUAGUAACUGACAGAGAUGGGGACUCGAGUCACAUGACUUGGCCUCAAGUCACAGGACUUGGACUCGAGUCACAUGACAUGGACUCGAGUCAGACUUGAGUCAUGAAUUUGAAGACUUUAGAUUCACUUUGGACUUUAAACCUGCUGACUCGUGACUUGACUCGGACUUUAGCCCUCUGACUCGGAAAGACUUUCUGUUUUCAAUAAUCAAUGAACUGCUAAUAUGUCGGCCCGUCUGUGCUGAAUGUGUGCAUACAUGUAUUAAUAUGAAAACAUGUCAGGUGUGUAAAUCAAUCUCUGACUGAAAAUUCCAGCAAAUAAAAUGUUCCACCAAACUGACUUAAAAUUUGACCCUGUCCCUCUUUUUAUCACGGCUCGGUUGCUGGUUAUCCUUAGAAAACCAUCUCUUCUGGCUGGGCUUAUUUAAACAGCCACAGUCACCUCUUUAGAUUAUGUUGUUGCUUUAAGUGAUU